rnacentral:rRNA from 1 species
AUUGAACGCUGGCGGCAGGCCUAACACAUGCAAGUCGGACGGUAGCACAGAGAGCUUGCUCUUGGGUGACGAGUGGCGGACGGGUGAGUAAUGUCUGGGGAUCUGCCCGAUAGAGGGGGAUAACCACUGGAAACGGUGGCUAAUACCGCAUAACGUCGCAAGACCAAAGAGGGGGACCUUCGGGCCUCUCACUAUCGGAUGAACCCAGAUGGACUUAGCUAGUAGGCGGGGUAAUGGCCCACCUAGGCGACGAUCCCUAGCUGGUCUGAGAGGAUGACCGGCCACACUGGGACUGAGACACGGUCCAGACUCCUACGGGAGGCAGCAGUGGGGAAUAUUGCACAAUGGGCGCAAGCCUGAUGCAGCCAUGCCGCGUGUAUGAAGAAGGCCUUCGGGUUGUAAAGUACUUUCAGCGGGGAGGAAGGCGGUGAGGUUAAUAACCUUGCCGAUUGACGUUACCCGCAGAAGAAGCACCGGCUAACUCCGUGCCAGCCGCCGCAGUAA